GCCUGGUGUGCCGGCCUUCCCCCGCCUCCGCUCGGGCUGCCGGCGGGUUGGGGACGUUCCCGCCGAGGCAGCGCCCUCUGCCAGCCCUCUUGGGAAGGGGUGGCCAGUGCCCUCAGGGACCGGUCCGAUGGUGGAUGCCGCCCCCCGGUUCAGGCGCAGUUUAGCGUUGUCACCUGCAGAGGGAUAAAAAAUAUGGGGGAAAAACCCCCGCCGCUUGCUGGUGGUGUUUCAGUGGCAGGAGGCAUCAGGCCAGGCUUUGAAAAGCCUGACAGUUCGUCACUGUCAGAGACACAGGGUCCCGCGGGCUCGCUGAUGUUUGGAUGCUGCAGGUUGAUGCAUGCCAAGAUCCCAUUUGCGUUGGUUGCCAAUUUGAAACUGCAGCAUACAUGGCUCAACAUCGCAACAGCGAGGCUUCUUCCUUCAGAGACUUUGGCUUUAUCUCUCCCGUACCUCAGAGAUGUGUCAUCUGCCAGCCUGUGCUCGCCUGUGCCAGCCUCUGCUGUCCUGGAUAUCUGGGACAGCUUUCCUUGGCGACUUUAAAAAAGCCCCACUGGAAAUCAUUAUUUGCUUUCUUGGCCUUUAACUCUUUUCCUUCACAACCCUCCCUCUAUUUUGGAACUGUUAUAGUUAAGUCUCUGAAAUGUUUUAGUUACACUUUGAAUUCAAAUUCAAUUCAAGAAUUGGAACUUAAAUGCAUCCAUGUUCAAGAAGCCUCUGGAGAAGAACUCAUUGGCAUUUAUGUUUUGUAGUCAUUUUCAUUGUUGACAACCUUUUCUGGAGCAGUUUUCUUUGAUCAUCAGUGUUUUCAAUUAAUUUUAGUCCUAUACCUUACAUCGGGCAUUAAUGUGGCAUGCUUAUUUAUAAGCAAAAACAUGAUUAAGACCUUAUUAUACAGGCAUGAUGAAAAUAGCCCACAGUCAGAGCUAAGAUGGAGCUGUGAAUUUGAGCACACCUCAUUACCUGGAGGACUAACGAUCUGGCCAUCUGAAGAGGCAGCUACAGCAGAGCAGAUAGGUUGAGAAAGAUGAGCAUCACUUGGCCACGUCCUUUGUUUCCAUCAAAAGGUUUGGAGAAAUCAUCUUAUUUUCAGACUAUUCAGUUCUGUCAUGAGCUGAUGUGUUCGUGUGAGACAUGUCCUGGGAGUAAGAUAAUGAAAAGAAACCCCCACACUUCAGAAGCACUGAAUCUUUUCUUUUGUUGCAAACACAGGAACAAAACCAGGAGCAUCUUAAGACAUUUCCGCAAGAAAAGUACAACAUUCAUAGGUACAAGGCUGAAUUUUCCACACAAACUUUCUAUGAGAUCUUGGACUCUUGCUGGGGAUGCCUGGCUGACUCCAGACUCUGUGACAUGGAUCAUCUUUGCAGUGAGACUCCAUCUGUUGUUCUGUUGGUCCCCCUCUAGGACCACACUUCUGAGGUCGGUUCAGUUUGUCCUCCCACCUCUGGGAUGGUUGGUUCACCCUCUGGAGUGGUCUACCUCCUUCUGAAAUCUGUCUAAUUUUCUUGAUACAGGUAUUAUAUAGCCAUAAAAGUAAUUUUCAUAAGUAUACGAAUAUGAAUGUUACAUUGUUGAUAAAUUUUCUUCACUAAUGAUGUUUCUAGUAACCAGUAAUAGUAUAUACCUACUUGGUUAUUGCUGUUAUUGGCUGUUGCUAUUAUAUUGAUUUUUGCUAUACAAUUAAUUCUUGCUAUACAAUUAAUUCUUGAUAUACCAUUGAUUGCUGCUAUUACUGUUUGUUACUAUUAUUGAUUGGUGCCAUACCAUGGACUGAUACUGUAUUACUGAUUGCUGAUAAUAAUUUGUAAUAGCUCAAUACUCAUGUAUAUAUUUUUUUCUUUAUUAAUCGUAGGUAUACUGGCUAGUGGUGAUUUUUGUGGUACUUGUGGUAAUCUGUGAUAAAGUAAA